rnacentral:rRNA from 1 species
GACGAACGCUGGCGGCGUGCCUAAUACAUGCAAGUCGAGCGGACGAAUCGAAAGCUUGCUUUUGAUUCGUUAGCGGCGGACGGGUGAGUAACACGUGGGCAACCUGCCCUGUAGACGGGGAUAACACCGAGAAAUCGGUGCUAAUACCGGAUAACACGAAAUGUCGCAUGACGUUUCGUUGAAAGACGGCGCAAGCUGUCGCUACAGGAUGGGCCCGCGGCGCAUUAGCUAGUUGGUGUGGUAACGGCUCACCAAGGCGACGAUGCGUAGCCGACCUGAGAGGGUGAUCGGCCACACUGGGACUGAGACACGGCCCAGACUCCUGCGGGAGGCAGCAGUAGGGAAUCUUCCGCAAUGGACGAAAGUCUGACGGAGCAACGCCGCGUGAGCGAAGAAGGCCUUCGGGUCGUAAAGCUCUGUUGUUAGGGAAGAACAAGUAACGCAGUAACUGGCGUUACCGUGACGGUACCUAACGAGAAAGCCACGGCUAACUACGUG